rnacentral:rRNA from 1 species
UACGAAGGGGGCUAGCGUUGCUCGGAAUUACUGGGCGUAAAGGGCGCGUAGGCGGCACUGUUAGUCAGGCGUGAAAGUCCUGGGCUCAACCUGGGAACUGCGCUUGAUACGGCAGAGCUAGAGGAUGGAAGAGGCUCGCGGAAUUCCCAGCGUAGAGGUGAAAUUCGUAGAUAUUGGGAAGAACACCGGUGGCGAAGGCGGCGAGCUGGUCCAUUACUGACGCUGAGGCGCGACAGCGUGGGGAGCAAACAGG